AAUAAACUGUCUGAUGUUUAAUAUUAUAAAAAAUAACCUUUCUAUUAAUUACUCAGUGUGGUGGAUUUGUUCGAAAUUAAAAAACCGUCGUUCACUUUUUUAUUGCUUAUUAAAAAAACCUUCUUUAUUUAUUAAUUAGCCAUUGAUUUCAUACAAAAAUGAGCUCUCCUGUUGUAUAUAAAACCGGCAACGCAUCUCCAAUUCUCCAUACACCACCUAUUUUCACAUAUUUCUCUCUUCUCUUCUCUCACUUCCUUCUUGAAAAUGGAGAUAUCAGUUACAUUCAUCGUCUUCUCCUUUGUUUUUUUGCGGUCAUUUUAGCUUCUGCGUGGUCUUUUCUGGAUUGGAUUUGGUUGAAGCCGAAGAAGCUGGAGAUGUUGCUGAGACAACAAGGUUUCUCCGGCAACUCAUACAAACUUCUUCACGGUGACACAAAGGAGAUGUUCACGAUGACAAAACAAGCAGAAAGCGAACCCAUCAACCCCCUCUCCCACGAUAUUGCGCCGCGAAUCAUUCCAUUCCACCAUCAUAUCAUUAUGAACUACGGAAAGAAUUCAUUCAUAUGGUUAGGUCCAGCACCAAGCAUAAAUAUCACGGACCCCAAAUUGAUAAGAGAAAUUAUGUUAAGGUAUGAAAUAUUUCAAAAACCCAAGAGGAACCCACUUAAUAGGUGGUUUUCAGUGGGAUGCUGGUGUAUGAGGGUGAACAAUGGUUCAGAGUCAGAAAGAUAGCCAAUCCAGCUUUCCAUCUCGAUAAGUUGAAGGUUUUUUCAUCUUUCUAUACUUUAAAAGAACAUGCAAUUUAUACAUAAUUGCCCAUUGAAAGAUACACAAUUAGUGAAUCAAAUUUCUAUGCACUCAUUUAUUGAUAUAAUUAACUACUAUUUCUUUUUCUUUAUAGGAUAUUAACUUCAAAUUUAUCUUCUUUUUCUUAUUCUUUAUUGGAUAUGUUACCUAAAAUGUAUUUGAGUUGCAAUGACAUGGUGAGAAAAUGGAAGAGAUCAAUCUCAAACAAUUUCAUGUGUGAUAGAUGUGUGGCCUGACAUUAAGGCUUUAACUUCAGAUGUGAUUUCUCGAAUGGCAUUUGGGAGUAGUUAUGAAGAUGGAAGAAAAAUAUUUGAACUCAUACCCAACAAAUUUAUCUGUUGAAUCAAGUUUUCUACACCUACCAUAUCUCGGGAUGGAGGUUUUUGCCCACUAAGGCAAAUAGAAAACUGAAAAGUAGUCACAAAGAAAUUCAAGAAUUGAUAAAAGGCAUCAUACAGAAAAGAGAGGAGGCCCUAAAACUUGGAGAAGCAAGUAAUGAUCAU